GUAUAUGUAUAUCACUAAAUGAGUAUUGGAAAUCUUGCAACGAUAAAAUGAAAUAAAACUGGAAAAUGGCGGGCAACAAAGUUCGAGUUUUGUAUGAUUUCGACGGCGAUAUCAACUCGGGAGAGUUGAUAGUCUCAACCGAUGAAAUUUUGACUGUGACACGAACGGAUGUAGGAGAUGGAUGGUGGGAAGGAAUGAAUCAUAACGGCAUGAGAGGGCUGUUUCCUGAAGCAUAUGUCGAGGUGAGAAAAUCUCAUA